rnacentral:rRNA from 1 species
AGAGUUUGAUCCUGGCUCAGGAUGAACGCUGGCGGCAUGCCUAAUACAUGCAAGUCGAACGAGAGGAAGGAAAGCUUGCUUUUCUGAAUCUAGUGGCGAACGGGUGAGUAACACGUAGGUAACCUGCCCAUGUGCCCGGGAUAACUUCUGGAAACGGAUGCUAAAACCGGAUAGGUAGCAGACAAGCAUUUGACUGCUAUUAAAGUGGCUAAGGCCACGAACAUGGAUGGACCUGCGGUGCAUUAGCUAGUUGGUGAGGUAACGGCCCACCAAGGCGACGAUGCAUAGCCGGCCUGAGAGGGCGGACGGCCACAUUGGGACUGAGACACGGCCCAAACUCCUACGGGAGGCAGCAGUAGGGAAUUUUCGUCAAUGGGGGGAACCCUGAACAAGCAAUGCCGCGUGAGUGAGGAAGGUCUUCGGAUCGUAAAGCUCUGUUGUAAGAGAAAAACGACAUUCAUAGGGAAUGAUGAGUGAGUGAUGGUAUCUUACCAGAAAGUCACGGCUAACUACGUGCCAGCAGCCGCGGUAAUACGUAGGUGGCGAGCGUUAUCCGGAAUGAUUGGGCGUAAAGGGUGCGUAGGUGGCAGAACAAGUCUGGAGUAAAAGGUAUGGGCUCAACCCGUACUGGCUCUGGAAACUGUUCAGCUAGAGAACAGAAGAGGACGGCGGAACUCCAUGUGUAGCGGUAAAAUGCGUAGAUAUAUGGAAGAACACCGGUGGCGAAGGCGGCCGUCUGGUCUGUUGCUGACACUGAAGCACGAAAGCGUGGGGAGCAAAUAGGAUUAGAUACCCUAGUAGUCCACGCCGUAAACGAUGAGAACUAGGUGUUGGGGGAAUAACUCAGUGCCGCAGUUAACGCAAUAAGUUCUCCGCCUGGGGAGUAUGCACGCAAGUGUGAAACUCAAAGGAAUUGACGGGGGCCCGCACAAGCGGUGGAGUAUGUGGUUUAAUUCGAAGCAACGCGAAGAACCUUACCUGCUCUUGACAUCCCGGUGACCGGCGUGUAAUGACGCCUUUUCUUCGGAACACCGGUGACAGGUGGUGCAUGGUUGUCGUCAGCUCGUGUCGUGAGAUGUUGGGUUAAGUCCCGCAACGAGCGCAACCCUUAUCUUUAGUAGCCAGCGGUUUGGAUGGGCACUCUGGAGAGACUGCCAGGGAUAACCUGGAGGAAGGUGGGGAUGACGUCAAAUCAUCAUGCCCCUUAUGAGCAGGGCUACACACGUGCUACAAUGGCGUAAACAAAGGGAAGCAAACCUGCGAGGGUAAGCAAAUCUCAAAAAUAACGUCUCAGUUCGGAUUGUAGUCUGCAACUCGACUACAUGAAGCUGGAAUCGCUAGUAAUCGCGAAUCAGCAUGUCGCGGUGAAUACGUUCCCGGGUCUUGCACUCACCGCCCGUCAA